UGUUUAUGCUGUGGAAAUACCAGAGAAAC
rnacentral:piRNA from 1 species